rnacentral:rRNA from 1 species
AAAUUGAAGAGUUUGAUCAUGGCUCAGAUUGAACGCUGGCGGCAGGCCUAACACAUGCAAGUCGAGCGGUAGCACAGAGAGCUUGCUCUCGGGUGACGAGCGGCGGACGGGUGAGUAAUGUCUGGGAAACUGCCUGAUGGAGGGGGAUAACUACUGGAAACGGUAGCUAAUACCGCAUAACGUCGCAAGACCAAAGUGGGGGACCUUCGGGCCUCAUGCCAUCAGAUGUGCCCAGAUGGGAUUAGCUAGUAGGUGGGGUAACGGCUCACCUAGGCGACGAUCCCUAGCUGGUCUGAGAGGAUGACCAGCCACACUGGAACUGAGACACGGUCCAGACUCCUACGGGAGGCAGCAGUGGGGAAUAUUGCACAAUGGGCGCAAGCCUGAUGCAGCCAUGCCGCGUGUGUGAAGAAGGCCUUCGGGUUGUAAAGCACUUUCAGCGGGGAGGAAGGCGAUAAGGUUAAUAACCUUGUCGAUUGACGUUACCCGCAGAAGAAGCACCGGCUAACUCCGUGCCAGCAGCCGCGGUAAUACGGAGGGUGCAAGCGUUAAUCGGAAUUACUGGGCGUAAAGCGCACGCAGGCGGUCUGUCAAGUCGGAUGUGAAAUCCCCGGGCUCAACCUGGGAACUGCAUUCGAAACUGGCAGGCUAGAGUCUUGUAGAGGGGGUAGAAUUCCAGGUGUAGCGGUGAAAUGCGUAGAGAUCUGGAGGAAUACCGGUGGCGAAGGCGGCCCCCUGGACAAAGACUGACGCUCAGGUGCGAAAGCGUGGGGAGCAAACAGGAUUAGAUACCCUGGUAGUCCACGCCGUAAACGAUGUCGAUUUGGAGGUUGUGCCCUUGAGGCGUGGCUUCCGGAGCUAACGCGUUAAAUCGACCGCCUGGGGAGUACGGCCGCAAGGUUAAAACUCAAAUGAAUUGACGGGGGCCCGCACAAGCGGUGGAGCAUGUGGUUUAAUUCGAUGCAACGCGAAGAACCUUACCUGGUCUUGACAUCCACAGAACUUAGCAGAGAUGCUUUGGUGCCUUCGGGAACUGUGAGACAGGUGCUGCAUGGCUGUCGUCAGCUCGUGUUGUGAAAUGUUGGGUUAAGUCCCGCAACGAGCGCAACCCUUAUCCUUUGUUGCCAGCGGUUAGGCCGGGAACUCAAAGGAGACUGCCAGUGAUAAACUGGAGGAAGGUGGGGAUGACGUCAAGUCAUCAUGGCCCUUACGACCAGGGCUACACACGUGCUACAAUGGCAUAUACAAAGAGAAGCGACCUCGCGAGAGCAAGCGGACCUCAUAAAGUAUGUCGUAGUCCGGAUUGGAGUCUGCAACUCGACUCCAUGAAGUCGGAAUCGCUAGUAAUCGUAGAUCAGAAUGCUACGGUGAAUACGUUCCCGGGCCUUGUACACACCGCCCGUCACACCAUGGGAGUGGGUUGCAAAAGAAGUAGGUAGCUUAACCUUCGGGAGGGCGCUUACCACUUUGUGAUUCAUGACUGGGGUGAAGUCGUAACAAGGUAACCGUAGGGGAACCUGCGGUUGGAUCACCUCCUUA